rnacentral:rRNA from 1 species
AGAUGGCGACCGGCGCACGGGUGAGUAACACGUAUCCAACCUGCCGAUAACUCGGGGAUAGCCUUUCGAAAGAAAGAUUAAUACCCGAUGGUAUAAUCAGACCGCAUGGUCUUGUUAUUAAAGAAUUUCGGUUAUCGAUGGGGAUGCGUUCCAUUAGGCAGUUGGUGAGGUAACGGCUCACCAAACCUUCGAUGGAUAGGGGUUCUGAGAGGAGGGUCCCCCACAUUGGAACUGAGACACGGUCCAA